ACAUUGGUGAUUGAGAAUCUCGAGAAAAUAUACAUGUUAUUUGCUAUAGUUCUCACACAUUCUUUGCAUAUCAAUGUUAAAUGAAAGUUAUCUGUACUUCCAUUAUACAUUUGUCUUUUAACGUAAACAAGUUGUAUCCUCUCUCUACCCCCCUCUCUCUCUAUCAGGACUCAUCUGGUAACAGUUUACUGCUUGAAGAUGUGCUCUCCGAUGCAGAGCUUGAUGCUCAAUUAGACUCCUGGAGAGAAAAGCUUGUUGUGGUUGGAAGGGAAUCCGCUGAGCUGCACAGAGAGGUUCAUGCAUUGCAAAAGCAGUCUAUCUUAAGCAGCAGUUGUGCCAGGUCUGUCGCUGAGGCACUAGAACCAUUCAAGCAGAACUCCAUGCAUGCCAUGCUCAAGGUUCACUUGACACAGAAAUGCUAAGAACUGCAUCUGAACUACGUGCAAAAAUGGAGAUAAUGAAGGCCAAGAGAAGGGAAGAGAUGGAGCGCAUUAGAAUUGAGAGGAUUUACAAUCCUGACAAGAGUCAAUCUAUGAUGUAUAGCAAUGGCCUCUCUGCUAGUUUGGAGGAUCUUCAUGAAUUUGCAGAUAAUAUGACAAAAAAGAUGUGAACAUGGACGUUGCCCUGCAUUUUGGUAAAUCAGGCAAAGUCUCAAGGAUGGUUUGGAAUUACUGUUAUGCCAUCGCAUUAAUUCGAAUAACCAUAUCUUCACAUAACAGAUGUUGGUGUCACCACGUUUAAACGCCUGGCAAUACAAGUAUAGCAUCUCAGCAGACUGAUAUGAUAUGAAUCUAGAUUUUGUCACCAAUACUAGCAUGUUAACAGCUUUAAGGAAUGUAUGUAUCAGUGUGAUGCCACUGCUCGAAAUUUAAGCUUCAUCUUGUCUGUGUUUAUGUGUGUGCGCAUUUGAAAUGGUGAAACUAUUGUUGCCAUUUAAAACAGCCUUGCCUGUUUGGAUUGCCAUUUA